CGUACGGGUGAGUAACACGUGGAUGAUCUACCUUCUAGUGGGGAAUACCGUUGGGAAACCGACGACAAUACCGCAUAAGCUCGAGAGAGGAAAGCAGCAAUGCGCUGGAAGAGGAGUCCGCGGCUGAUUAGCUAGUUGGUAAGGUAAAAGCUUACCAAGGCAUAGAUCAGUAGCCGGCCUGAGAGGGCACACGGCCACACUGGCACUGAAACACGGGCCAG
rnacentral:rRNA from 1 species